AACCGUUUAAUAAAUUGGUAUUGAGCGAAGGACUAAUAGGAGUCAGAAAC
rfam:Blautia sp. An46 An46_contig_15, whole genome shotgun sequence.